rnacentral:rRNA from 1 species
CAGCCGCCGCGGUAAUACCGGCGGCCCGAGUGGCGGUCACUAUUAUUGGGCUUAAAGCGUCCGUAGCCGGGUUGGGAAGUCCUCCGGGAAAUCUGGCCGCUUAACGGUCAGAAUGCCGGAGGAUACUCCCAGCCUAGGGAGCGGGAGAGGCCGAGGGGAUUCCCGGAGUAGGGGGGAAAUCCUAUAAUCCCGGGAGGACCACCUGUGGCGAAGGCGCUCGGCUGGGACGCGUCCGACGGUGAGGGACGAAGGCCAGGGGAGCAAACCGGAUUAGAUACCCGGGUAGUCCUGGCUGUAAACGAUGCGGACUUUGUGUCGGACAAGCUAUGAGCUUGUCCGGUGCCGGAGGGAAACCGUUAAGUCCGCCGCCUGGGGAGUACGGCCGCAAGGCUGAAACUUAAAGGAAUUGGCGGG